AUUGAACGCUGGCGGCAGGCUUAACACAUGCAAGUCGAGCGGAGAUGAGGUGCUUGCACCUUAUCUUAGCGGCGGACGGGUGAGUAAUGCUUAGGAAUCUGCCUAUUAGUGGGGGACAACAUUCAGAAAGGAAUGCUAAUACCGCAUACGCCCUAUGGGGGAAAGCAGGGGAUAUUCGGACCUUGCGCUAAUAGAUGAGCCUAAGUCGGAUUAGCUAGUUGGUGGGGUAAAGGCCUACCAAGGCGACGAUCUGUAGCGGGUCUGAGAGGAUGAUCCGCCACACUGGGACUGAGACACGUCCCAGACUCCUACGGGAGGCAGCAGUGGGGAAUAUUGGACAAUGGGCGGAAGCCUGAUCCAGCCAUGCCGCGUGUGUGAAGAAGGCCUUUUGGUUGUAAAGCACUUUAAGCGAGGAGGAGGCUACCUGGAUUAAUACUCUAGGAUAGUGGACGUUGCUCGCAGAAUAAGCACCGGCUAACUCUGUGCCAGCAGCCGCGGUAAUAC
rnacentral:rRNA from 1 species